rnacentral:rRNA from 1 species
UUGCGGCUUCGCAAAAGAGUGGCGGACGGGUGAGUAAUGUCUGGGAAACUGCCUGAUGGAGGGGGAUAACUACUGGAAACGGUAGCUAAUACCGCAUAACGUCGCAAGACCAAAGAGGGGGACCUUCGGGCCUCUUGCCAUCGGAUGUGCCCAGAUGGGAUUAGCUAGUAGGUGGGGUAACGGCUCACCUAGGCGACGAUCCCUAGCUGGUCUGAGAGGAUGACCAGCCACACUGGAACUGAGACACGGUCCAGACUCCUACGGGAGGCAGCAGUGGGGAAUAUUGCACAAUGGGCGCAAGCCUGAUGCAGCCAUGCCGCGUGUAUGAAGAAGGCCUUCGGGUUGUAAAGUACUUUCAGCGGGGAGGAAGGCGAUAAGGUUAAUAACCUUGUCGAUUGACGUUACCCGCAGAAGAAGCACCGGCUAACUCCGUGCCAGCAGCCGCGGUAAUACGGAGGGUGCAAGCGUUAAUCGGAAUUACUGGGCGUAAAGCGCACGCAGGCGGUCUGUCAAGUCGGAUGUGAAAUCCCCGGGCUCAACCUGGGAACUGCAUUCGAAACUGGCAGGCUAGAGUCUUGUAGAGGGGGGUAGAAUUCCAGGUGUAGCGGUGAAAUGCGUAGAGAUCUGGAGGAAUACCGGUGGCGAA